GAGAGAAGUCAAUCAGAUCAAGAAAAGCAUAAUGAAGAAACUUUAGAGCGUUUACGAAAUGGCGAGACGCGUAAGAGGAAUGGAAACGAAAGUAG